CCUGCACCAGAGGUGUUGCAGGUAUGGCUGCUAUGUCACUUGUUCAUUGGUAGGUGGCAGAGAAAGGAUGUGUCCAUGCUCAGUGUUCUGACUUGUGAAUAUUUGAAUGAUUAGUAGCCUAACACU